CAGCCGCCGCGGUAAUACGUAGGGGGCUAGCGUUGUCCGGAUUCAUUGGGCGUAAAGAGCGUGUAGGCGGCCAGAUAGGUCUGCUGUGAAAACUCGAGGCUCAACCUCGAGCUGUCGGCGGAAACCAUCUGGCUAGAGUCCGGAAGAGGAGAGUGGAAUUCCCGGUGUAGCGGUGAAAUGCGCAGAUAUCGGGAAGAACACCUGUGGCGAAGGCGGCUCUCUGGGACGGUACUGACGCUGAGACGCGAAAGCGUGGGGAGCAAACAGGAUUAGAUACCCUGGUAGUCCACGCCGUAAACGAUGGGUGCUAGGUGUGGGGAGUGUCGACUCUCUCCGUGCCGAAGCUAACGCAUUAAGCACCCCGCCUGGGGAGUACGGCCGCAAGGCUAAAACUCAAAUGAAUUGACGG
rnacentral:rRNA from 1 species